GCCCUAGGGAAAAACCAAGACCACUUUUCUAUGGUACAACAUGGAUGUUACAUCCAAUUUUUAGAUAUAUUUUGACAUAACUUUACCUGGUAAGAAUUUUUUGUGGAUUUUUUUUUUUUAUUAUUUCUUCUUUUUUGUUGUUCCUGUCCUUUGGACUUCAAUAGUCAAGUUCUUUAAAUUUUGCUCCCAUCCUCUGAUGUAACCCUUCGGGCAUAUAUUGCCCCACUUGGCGGCGCUCUUGUUGAAAUAUAAUUUUACAUUAAUUUAAUGCAACCAUAAAAGUUAAUGUGCCACAAAUAUUAAUGUUAAUUUGCUUGUUGAAAUAUAAUUUUACAUUAAUGCAACUAUGAAAGUUAAUGUGCCACAAAUAUUGACGUUUUCACAAUAUUUUUUUAAGGCUCAGUAUCAAAGAAUUCCUUAAACUUAAUCAACCUUAGUCUUUAAAAUAGACAUUUGGCAAAAUUGAAGUGAGAGACUUACCUUGAAAUUAGAACAUUGACAGACAUAACAUUUUUAGUGCUACAUUUUAUUCUAGGUUGAUAAGUCAUCCUGUGGCACUAACUCCAUUGAAAAGUGCAUGUUUAUUGCUGUAUGAGGUGUUGUCCGAGAGCAGAGCAAACAGUAGUCCCGGCAGAGACUUGGCAGAGUUCAAGGUUCAGACAUAUGUAACUUGUAGUGGCAAAUGAUCUUGUUUAGAACACCAAGUUACCGUUGAGACUUUAGAUUCUAUUGCUGUCAUUAUCAGUAAAAUUUGUCACUAUUUCCGUGAAGAAAAAAACAUGGAAAGGAGCCGGUUAUUUGGCUGAAUUUACUGAUGAAACAGUUCUUGACCACUACAGUAGAUAUGUCUCGGAGUGUUGGAGGAAAGUAUUGAUGCAACGCUGACAGAAGUGAAGGAAAACAACUUACAACACCUUUGCAGUAAUCUACAAAACACUAUUUACAAUAACAUUUGCAACAACAGAAAUAUCUUGUGAUAAAACAGCAAGGCUUCAUUUAUUUCAAAACAAUAACAUCAGUAGAUGACUUUAGAACCUACAUGUACAUUAAGGAGACACAUCUUGUACUGAGAAGAAACAUCUCUAGCUAGGACAUCAUAAAUUAUCUAAGGUUUCUGAGAGAAGUGUGCAUAGGUGACUUAGUUUCAUGUGGAAGUGAAAAUGUUAAAGCUAGUGCUUGCAACUUAAGAAAGCUGUAUCACAAUUUUUGUGCCCCCCCCCCCCCACACACACACACACACACACACACGAGUGGAGUGUUGGGGGCAUAUAGAUUUGCUCUUGUCCGUUCUUCCGAGAAUGUUGUGUCGCGCCUAGCUACAAAAGUAUUUGACAUAGAGUCACAAAACUUUACAGGAAUGUUUGUCAGCAUGUGUAGUUUUGCACCUGGGGCUUCGUGUCUGGAUUCAUUCAGUCAUGUAGGAGUUAUGGCCCCUGACUUAGUAAAAAAUUGGUCAUUUUAAUGUUGUGUCGUGCGUAGCUACAAAAGUAUUUGACCUAGAAACACCAAAGUGUACAGGAAUGUUGGUCAGCAUGCGCAGUUGUGCACCUGGGGUUUUACGUCCGGAUUCAUUCAGUUGUGUAGGAGUUAUGGCCCCUGACUUAGUUAAAAAUUGGUCAUUUUAUUGUUGUGUCAUACAUAGCUCCAAAAGUAUUUGACCUAGAGUCACCAAAGUUUACAGGAAUGUUGGUCAGCAUGUGCAGUUGUGCACCUGGGGUUUCGCCUCUGGAUUCAUUCAGUCGUGUAGGAGUUAUGGCCCCUGACUUAGUUAAAAAUUGGUCAUUUUAAUGUUGUGUCACACGUGGCUCCAAAAGUAUUUGACCUAGAGUCACCAAAGUUUACAGGAAUUUGGUCAGCAUGUGCAGUUGUGCACCUGGGGUUUCACGUCCGGAUUCAUUCAGUAUUGAAGGAGUUACGGCCCCUGACCUAGGAAAAAAUUGUCAUUUUAAUGUUUUGUCGCACGUAGCUCCGGAAAUAUUUUACCUACAGUCAUUAUUUCACUACACAAGACCAGACUUCUUGUCCAGACUUACUCAAAAAAAAGUUUGUGAAACAUGUAUGUUAAAAUGUACUUUACCUGGAAUCAUAAAACAUUAGAGGAUUGUUUUAUAGCCUAUGAAGUGUUCUCUUUAGGAUUUUACUCAGCUAGGCCAGAGUUAUCGCCAACUAAGUGAAAAAUACACAUAAGGUUCUUAAAAUUUUGUGUUGCAAACAUUUUAGAAAAUUGUUUAACCUGAGUCAUUAAACCAUGUUACAGUGGCAGAAUUGGGGGCACCUGUGUCCUAUGGACACACAUCUAGUUUGUAUUUACAUGUAUUUAAUGUCUUUUGCCAUGUUUACUUUGAAAUUUUUUGAAUAGUUUAAUUUUAUUAAACGUUAAUCAAAAACAGA